UGUUACAAACAGAUCACCCUAAAUUAGACCAAUGUCAUCAGAACUUGAGAGCUAAGCAGAGUUGGCCCUGUGAGUACUUGGAUGGGCGACCUUCAUGAAUUUCCAGGUGCUGGAGGCGU
rnacentral:rRNA from 1 species